GCCAAUUGUUGGUUCCAUCGCAACAUCAGCGCCCAGCAACGGAGCUACACUUCAUAGGGAGCACAUAUGGACUGUAAAGCAUGAUUUACAGCACUCUUUUGGGUUUCCUGUCCUGCUAUCUGCACAUUUGGACCAUGGCUCUUCUCCUCCCCUGAGACACCUUAGACCAGAGGGAGCCACUGGAGAGGAGCUGAAGAGCCGC